UUGACAGCUAUUUUUCAUCUGUGUGUAAUUCAUUUGUUCAUGUACAGUUAGUCGCAGAGUCUUCACGACUACAUUGUGAGCAGACAUGCCCCUGUGACCUUUCGGGGGAAGAUGUUUAAUUUUGAGCCGAAGUAGGUUAAAUUUACACCCGGUUUCGUCAAAGAAAUGUGAAAGAUAUAGCCCAGUGACCAACGAAAACCUUAAGGUGCACUGGUAGAACAAAAUGACGUCUAUUUUUAUAUAAACAUUUAAUAUAUUCAUUACCGUUAUGUAGCAAGGCGUGCCUUGUCAUCAGUAGAGCCCAAUAAUUUGUGAGCGGAUGAGAAAUAUAAGUGCGGGAUGUUAAGCGAAACAUCGAUUGCAGACAAUGCACAUAGUUUUUUUUGGUAGCAUACAUAUUAUACAUUCAGAAUCAUUGACCAUAAAUACUAUAGGAUAAUGGAGAAAAAAAUAUGGUUUUUGACCUCGAUAGAUGAAUGGAAAUAUCAAAAUGUGAGAUAUUUUAAGACAAAUGUAUAGGUUUUGUGACGUAACUGAGUGUUGUUAAGAAGGGACAGAUUGCAGAUACUUUUGAAUGACUAUUUGUUUUCUAAUAUUGUUUGUGACACAUCCAUUACUGGCAUUUUUGUACUUUCGCAUGCAUAUAUUAUAAUAAUCAUACAUGUUGCAGCCAUGGCUGAUGUAUAUGUUUCUGUCAAGCAUUGAAUUCGCCAUGAAGCAAUUGAAAAAUGUUUUUGACUACGUUUAAGUUUUUUCGAAGACAAAAAUGUAUCUAGGUCCAUCCAUGCAUACUAAUCUCCGUUCCAUAUACUAUGUAUCUAGGUCCAUCCAUGCAUAUUACUCUCCGUUCCAUAUACUAUGUAUCUAGGCCCAUCCAUGCAUAUUAAUCUUCGUUCCCUAUACUAUGUAUCUAGGUCCAUCCAUGCAUAUUAAUCUCCGUUCCAUAUACUAUGUAUCUAGGUCCAUCCAUGCAUAUUACUCUCCGUUCCCUAUACUAUGUAUCUAGGCCCAUCCAUGCAUAUUAAUCUUCGUUCUCUAUACUAUGUAUCUAGGUCCAUCCAUGCAUAUUACUCUCCGUUCCAUAUACUAUGUAUCUAGGUCCAUCCAUGCAUAUUAAUCUCCGUUCCAUAUACUAUGUAUCUAGGUCCAUCCAUGCAUAUUAAUCUCCGUUCCAUAUACUAUGUAUCUAGGUCCAUCCAUGCAUAUUACUCUCCGUUCCCUAUACUAUGUAUCUAGGUCCAUCCAUGCAUAUUAAUCUCCGUUACCUAUACUAUGUAUCUAGGUCCAUCCAUGCAUAUUACUCACCGUUCCCUAUACUAUGUAUCUAGGUCCAUCCAUGCAUAUUACUCACCGUUCCCUAUACUAUGUAUUUAGGUCCAUCCAUGCAUACUACUCUCCGUUCCCUAAACUAUGUAUCUAGGUCCAUCCAUGCAUAUUAAUCUCCGUUCCAUAUACUAUGUAUCUAGGUCCAUCCAUGCAUAUUAAUCUCCGUUCCCUAUACUAUGUUUCUAGGUCCAUCCAUGCAUAUUAAUCUCCGUUACCUAUACUAUGUAUCUAGGUUCAUCCAUGCAUAUUACUCACCGUUCCCUAUACUAUGUAUCUAGGUCCAUCCAUGC